rnacentral:lncRNA from 1 species
UACGGACAAAAUAUUAGUACUUUAUUUAUAACAUUGCGAAGAAAGUAUCAAGAUCAACAAAAUACAUAUGAUACUGCUCAUGUACGGACUGAAUAUUAGUACUUUAUUUAAUUAAGUGCUAAAAUAAAUUAAACGUGUUCAAAUAUACUAAAAGAAAUAUUGUAUACUCGAUUUUUAAUAAGUCAUUUUGCCUACUUCACUUUGUGAAGAGAAGACAUACUUCUCAUUUAACUCAAAACCUCACCCUGUCGAUUGAAAUCAAACAUAUCGCUCUAAAUGAGGUAGCCUUUAUCCUUUUCAACUAAUUUUGAAUUGAUAUAUAGUUGCUGUUAAGAGGAAAACACAAAGAAAGUGAAGA